AUGAGUGCCUGUCCACCCCAAAUUUUUCGCCGCUGCGCCAGACUCGACGGCCGUUUUACCGGAUCUGCCGGUGCUGUCGGAGUCGUGAGGCGCAACGCGAGCAUUGAAGGCGAGCCGCUUGCCCCGUACGCCGGGGCGGCGGCUUUUUUA
rnacentral:ncRNA from 1 species